AGAUCAUCUCGUCUGUCGCAGCUCUUGCCUUUCCAAGGGCUGCUGUCCCCUCUUCUCUUCUCGGGAGUUUAGACUCGGAAAGGUCGAUUCACGAAAAAAUCAAAAUUGGGACCAGGAUCUCAGCAACCUCAAACGGGAGCGAGUGCGACUUCGGACUCCCACCAUGAUGUCUCUCAAAUUCUCCCGACCAGUGGUGAUAGUGUCCCCGCUACUUCACGCCCUUUCCGUCCCCCGCGAAGUGAACUAAGGCCUGCUCCACAGACGAGCACAAAUAGUGCCCAGAACUCGCUGCCAGGCCAUCUAAACUUGGACGCUAAUGCAAAUGAGGAACCUCUUGCUGAAGAAGAAGUUGACGACCUCCAUGAUGCUUCUGUGGCUCGGAGUUGCAGAGGACGCAAGACUACAUAGUUUUGGACGGUUAAGAUCAUCGUGUUGCAAUUCUACCCCAAUUUAUGCAUGUUAUAUGCUGGUCGGAUCCAUCGUGCUUCGUUUGAUAGGUGUAUAAUAAGACUGUGACGGCACAAUCAAGCCAGCAAAACUAAGCGUGAGGGAUGCUAUGAAACGGCCUAACGGUAGGAAGAUCGUGCUCAGGUUCAACAACGCAAAGCAAGCAAUUGGAUACGAAGCUGGACUGUUGAGUGGCGUGCUUGGUCUGCUGGGAUCUGAUUAUGGAAAAUUCCCAUCUGUAGGAAAAGUUGGCGUCAGAUUACCACUAAAGACAAGGUUUAUAACGAAUGUGUCAAGCAAAAUUUCCACUUUGAUGAAGACAGCGAAGGAACUAUCAAGAAAAAUAUUUUGAAAAGUAUGGGCAAGUCUUGGAAGAAAACAAGGCUGAGGUUGUAUGACCGUUUUUAUGAGCCAAUAUUCACGGCUGAACAAAAUUUUGAGAAUCGACCGCUGGGAAUUGAUCGAGAACAUUGGAGAUGGUUCCUUGACUAUCGCGCCGAAGCUGAGACGAAGGAGAAGUGCAGGAAAAAUGCGAUCAAUCGAUCAAAACAACUAUAUACUCACACUGGCGGUUCGAAAAGUUUCGCACAGCGGAUGGAAGAAGAGUCGGAAGAACAAGGAAGGAGAGUCGGUAGAGGAGAGCUAUGGAUCACAGUGCACAAAAAAAUGGCUUAUAUAUCAAUGAUGAAGCAAGAGCAAUUGGUGAAAGAAUUGAGGAGAUUGAGCAACAUGAUGAGUCUUCUAGAAUGUUGUCUCAAAAUGAUUCCAUUGCUCAGGUUUUCGGAAAAGAGAAACCGGGUAGAGUACGUGGUGUGGAUUUUGGACCAACUCCUAGUCAACUCUUCGGUCCGAAUUCACAUGCGUCUGGCAACGAAGUCCAACUAGAGGAGACCCAGAGGAAGCUGCUUGAACUGCAGGCAGAGAUGGAAGGCGAAAAGUUGAAGAGGAAGGCGAUGGAGGAUGAGGCAGCAGUAGAGAAGAAAAAGAUGAAGGCGAUAGAGAGUGCUCUGAUUUAUCUAUUUCAACGGCAGGGUGAGGUGCUACCAUCAGACAUCGCUGUAGGGAUGAGUUUUGUGGAAUGAUAGAGGGAAAAUAGAAUAUUAGAAUUGGAGUUAUUUUGCAUUGAAGCAAAUAUUUUAUUGAAUUAGACUGUGCAACUCUUUGAAAGAGAUUUAUUUACUUUGUAUUUGGAUGGAUAUAUUAUUUUGUUUUGCUUAUAUUUCAA